UGACCAAUCAAGCUCUGCUUGGCCUUGGGGCUCGCUGUAACCGGCGGCCUUUAAAAGCAGUGGCGGUGCCGUCCAGCUCUAAGCGUAGUAAUACUCCUCGCUAUAGGGCUUGGGCGUCCACCCGCCAGAACCUCCAACUUCUUUA
rnacentral:misc_RNA from 1 species